GACAGAGGGUGCAAACGUUGCUCGGAAUUACUGGGCGUAAAGCGCGUGUAGGCUGACCGGAAAGUCGGGCGUGAAAUCCCUGGGCUCAACCCAGGAACUGCACUCGAAACUCCCGGUCUUGAGUGGUGGAGAGGGAAGUGGAAUUCCUGGUGUAGAGGUGAAAUUCGUAGAUAUCAGGAGGAACACCAGUGGCGAAGGCGGCUUCCUGGACACCAACUGACGCUGAGACGCGAAAGCGUGGGGAGCAAACAGG
rnacentral:rRNA from 2 species